rnacentral:lncRNA from 1 species
AGGGUCAGAGAGGGAGUCCAGCGAAUGGGGAGAAGAGAGAGAGGAGACGGGCUAAUCGGAAUAGAGAAAGGAGGAAAGGAGAGAGGGCGAGAAGCGGAGGAGAGAAGGAAGAAAACGGGUUCCCCCAACCCACGACCCGUGUGCACCCAUUCCCAUUCCUUCAUAUUUUCCGGUGGUUUUCCACCGGAUUUCUCUCGAAAUUGGACUAAGAAACCAUUCCCAAUCAUUCCCUAGUCCUUUCCUCUUCCAUUCCCAACCUAAUUUUAUGGGAUUUGAGCUUGAAUUCGAGUAGA